AGAGCGUAGGGAGGAUACCUAGGCACCAAGAGCCGAAGAAGGACGUGAUAAGCUGCGAAAAGCUAUGGUAAGGAGCAAAUAUCCUAUGACCCAUAGAUAUCCGAAUGAGGGAACUCAUCCACAGAAAAAAGUGUGGAUAUCCAUAUAUGAGUAAAGUAGUAUAUAGGAAGGGAACGCAAGGAACUGAAACAUCUUAGUACUUGUAGGAAGAGAAAGAAAAAUCGAUUCUGUGAGUAGUGGCGAGCGAAAGCGGAAGAGCCCAAACCAAUGUUGCUUGCAACGUUGGGGUUCGGACUACAUAAUCCAUUUAUCGAGCGAAUAAGAAUUGUUUGGGAAGGCAAAUCAUAGAAGGUGAAAAUCCUGUAUUAGAAGUGAGAUAGAGGAGGUAGUAUCCAGAGUAGUGCGAGGCACGUGAAACCUCGUAUGAAAGAGCGGGGACCACCCCGUAAGGCUAAAUACUACUUGGUGACCGAUAGAGAUUAGUACCGUGAGGGAAAGGUGAAAAGAACCCCGGGAGGGGAGUGAAAUAGAACAUGAAACCCUAUGCUUACAAACAGACAAAGCACGUUAAGGUGUGAUGUCGUACUUUUUGUAGAACGGUCCAGCGAGUUAUUGUAUAUGGCAAGGUUAAGCACUAUGUAAGGUGUGAAGCCGAAGCGAAAGCGAGUCUGAAAAGGGCGAAUUAAGUCAUAUGUAAUAGACCCGAAACCGGGUGACCUAACCAUGGUCAGGAUGAAGCUUGAGUAAAAUCAAGUGGAGGUCCGAACUGAUAAGCGUUAAAAAGCUUCCGGAUGAACUGUGGUUAGCGGAGAAAUUCCAAUCGAACUCGGAGAUAGCUGGUUCUCCUCGAAAUAGCUUUAGGGCUAGCCUUGAUGUAAAGAUAUAUGGGGGUAGAGCACUGAAGGUGCUAGGGGCCUAAACCAGGUUACUGAACACUAUCAAACUCCGAAUACCAUAUAUUAGUAGUCAGGAGUCAGACUGCGGGAGCUAAGUUCCGUGGUCAAAAGGGAAAGAGCCCAGAUCGUCAAUUAAGGUCCCAAAGAUAUAGCUAAGUGGGAAACGAUGUGAAAUUGCGUAAACAACCAGGAUGUUGGCUUAGAAGCAGCCAUACAUUUAAAGAGUGCGUAAUAGCUCACUGGUCGAGUGAAUUUGCGCGGAAAAUUACCGGGGCUAAGCUAUACACCGAAAUUGCGGGUUCAUAAGUAAUUAUGAGCGGUAGAGGAGCAUUCUGUAGUAGGGUGAAGUAUGAUCGAAAGGACAUAUGGACGAGGCAGAAGAGAGAAUGCUGGAAUAAGUAGCGAGAGCAAAGUGAGAAUCUUUGCCGUCGAAAGUCUAAGGUUUCCUGGGGAAGGUUCGUCCGCCCAGGGUAAGUCGGGACCUAAGGUGAGGCCAAGGAGGCGUAGCCGAUGGAUAGCAGGUAUAAAAUUCCUGCACUACCGAAAUACUUAAAAACGAUAAGGGACGCAGGAGAGGAAGGAAAUCCGGGAAGAGGAAAAACCGGAGCCGAAAGGCAUAGUGAAAAUUUAAAGUAACGAAGUUCCAAGAAUCACACUGACGAGAAAAGCUUAUUGACAUUGUAUUAAGGUACCCGUACCGCAAACCGACACAGGUAGAUGAGGAGAGGAUCCUAAGACGAGCGAGAGAAGUACUGUUAAGGAACUCGGCAAACUAACCCCGUAACUUAGGGAGAAGGGGUACCUAUGUAAAAGUAGGUCGCAGAGAAGAGUCCCAAGCAACUGUUUAACAAAAACACAGGUUUCUGCUAAAUCGAAAGAUGAAGUAUAGGAGCUGACGCCUGCCCAGUGCUGGAAGGUUAAGGGGAAAUGUUAGAGUAAUCGAAGCAUAGAACUAAAGCCCCAGUGAACGGCGGCCGUAACUAUAACGGUCCUAAGGUAGCGAAAUUCCUUGUCAGGUAAGUUCUGACCCGCACGAAAGGCGUAAUGAUUUGGGAGCUGUCUCGACAGUAUACUCGGCGAAAUUGUAGUACUAGUGAAGAUGCUAGUUACCUGCGACAAGACAGAAAGACCCCAUGGAGCUUUACUGUAGCUUGAUAUUGGGUUUCGGUAAUUUAUGUACAGGAUAGGUGGGAGACUAUGAAGCAAGAGCGUCAGCUUUUGUGGAGUCACCCUUGGGAUACCACCCUUAAAUUAUUGGAAUUCUAACCUGUGAUCACGAACUGGUCAGGGGACAAUGUCAGGCGGGCAGUUUGACUGGGGCGGUCGCCUCCUAAAGAGUAACGGAGGCGCCCAAAGGUUUCCUCAACCCGGACAGAAAUCGGGUGAAAGAGUGCAAAGGCAGAAGGAAGCUUAACUGAAAGACAGACAUGUCGAGCAGAUACGAAAGUAGGGCUUAGUGAUCCGGUGGUAUGUGAGUGGAAAUGCCAUCGCUCAACGGACAAAAGUUACCCUGGGGAUAACAGGCUUAUCUCUCCCAAGAGUUCACAUCGACGGGGAGGUUUGGCACCUCGAUGUCGGCUCAUCGCAUCCUGGAGCGGAAGUACGUUCCAAGGGUUGGGCUGUUCGCCCAUUAAAGCGGUACGCGAGCUGGGUUCAGAACGUCGUGAGACAGUUCGGUCCUUAUCUGUCGCAGGCGCAGGAUAUUUGAAGGGAGUUGUCCUUAGUACGAGAGGACCAGGAUGAACAUACCGAUGGUGCAACAGUUGUCACACCAGUGGCAUAGCUGUGUAGCUAAGUAUGGAAGGGAUAAACGCUGAAAGCAUCUAAGUGUGAAGCCCACCCUAAGAUAAGAUAUCCCACAACGUUAAGUUGG
rnacentral:rRNA from 1 species